GUAUCUUCUUCUCCCCACCUCACCUAUAACUCAAAGCCAUUAAAAAUCAUAUUAGCAAAAAGGUUGAUAAUACGAAAGUAAUGAAAUUGGUGGUGUGUUGGGGUUUAUCAAAAGGAAAGAGAAAAAUUUUUGUACUUGAUUCGGUUUUUUUAUUGGUGGAGCUAAAGGGGGAGAUGGAGGAUCUGUGUGAUCUACAGGUGACGAAUGAAAGUACAAAGGGUUCUUGAUGGGUGAUUUCAGAAGGAGGCGAUGAGAGGGGAUGUAAGUGCAAGAUGAAGAACGGGGUUUGGACAUCAGAGAGGGUCGUUGAUUUGGACCUGAAAGACAAGAGGAGUGAAUAGAAGAUAAUAAAAAACAUCACUCCUCCAUUACUAGCAACUGCUUCAUCUUCAUCCAGUGGCAACCUCUCGGUGAGAUCUCUAAAGGUAUUCUGGUGAUCUACUCCGAUUGAUUUAGGGGUAAAAGGAUAAAUCGAGAUGCACCUGUUAUGUGUUCAAGAACCGAUCAUAACCUAAAUCAAAAAUCAAAGUUGCAGGUGGUUGAGGAAGAUGAUAAUGGACCACGAAAAGAACCAAACCCACCAGAGCAUUAUGAAACUGGAGCCGAAGCCUUGUGAACUUCUCAAAGUGUCCAAGAAUAUAUAAAUCUACACUUUUGUUAUACCCUGAAGAUAACUUUUAUACGUGAAAGUUCUUUUUGUUUUUUCUAUCAAUUUUCAUAGUGUUUCGAUAAUUAGCCUCCCACCAUUCCCUACUGAUCAUCGUCUCUGUCGACAUCCUCCCAUAGCAUCUUCUUUUUACCAGUAGCGUGAUCUUAAUUUCAGGUAUGAGCUGAGAUGAUCAGAAACAAACUGGCAUGAGAGUUGUUUGAGAGGAUGGAAUAAGGAAUAAAGGCAUGUAUUGGGUGACGAUUCAAGCACGGAUUUACAAGAUAUUCUCGAAUUAAAAUUAAGGCCAACAACAAUUACCUCUAUAUUUAGAUAACAACAAGCUUAGUGUCCAAUUUUCAGGGAAUCUUUAGAAGUCCAGGUAACAAAGGAAAAUUUUUCAUUGGUUUGGGUUGUAUAUCGGGAUGCUUCUACUAAUAAAUUACAUGUUGAAGUGGAGUGCUGAAUCUCGUACACAAGGUGUUUGACAAAAAUCCUCAAAAAAGAGAUCAUCAUUGUUUUUGACCAGCCUCUGAUCUUGUGUGUUUACCGGCCAUGUGGAGAGAGAGAGAGAGAGAGAGAGAGAGAGAGAGAGAGAGAGAGAGAGAGAGAGAGAGAGAGAGAGAGAGAAAGAGUUCCUUUAUUAUUUUUUUAAUUGUUAAAAUAAAUAAAUAAAUUUUAAAUUUUAAGAAAAUGAAAGAAAAAUGAAAAUUAACUACCCUAAGGGUAUUAUAGUCAUUUUAAUUUUCGAAGGGACUAUUUUCACAUACAAAUCACUCCAAAAGGACCAUGAAUCCAAAAAAUUCGAGGUUUUUGAUUAAAACCCCAAAAAUUUGCAUACCACAGGGACCAUAUUUGCAAUUUUGUCAAUCUA
rnacentral:lncRNA from 1 species